rnacentral:rRNA from 1 species
AGUGAACGCUGGCGGUAGGCCUAACACAUGCAAGUCGAACGGCAGCACAGUAAGAGCUUGCUCUUACGGGUGGCGAGUGGCGGACGGGUGAGGAAUACAUCGGAAUCUACUUUUUCGUGGGGGAUAACGUAGGGAAACUUACGCUAAUACCGCAUACGACCUACGGGUGAAAGCAGGGGAUCUUCGGACCUUGCGCGAUUGAAUGCGCCGAUGUCGGAUUAGCUAGUUGGCGGGGUAAAGGCCCACCGAGGCGACGAUCCGUAGCUGGUCUGAGAGGAUGAGCAGCCACACUGGAACUGAGACACGGUCCAGACUCCUACGGGAGGCAGCAGUGGGGAAUAUUGGACAAUGGGCGAAAGCCUGAUCCAGCCAUACCGCGUGGGUGAAGAAGGCCUUCGGGUUGUAAAGCCCUUUUGUUGGGAAAGAAAAGCAGCAGGUUAAUACCCCGCUGUUCUGACGGUACCCAAAGAAUAAGCACCGGCUAACUUCGUG